AUGAACGCUGGCGGCGUGCCUCAUACAUGCAAGUCGAGCGAACGGACGAGAAGCUUGCUUCUCUGAUGUUAGCGGCGGACGGGUGAGUAACACGUGGAUAACCUACCUAUAAGACUGGGAUAACUUCGGGAAACCGGAGCUAAUACCGGAUGAUAUUUUGAACCGCAUGGUUCAAAAGUGAAAGACGGUCUUGCUGUCACUUAUAGAUGGAUCCGCGCUGCAUUAGCUAGUUGGUAAGGUAACGGCUUACCAAGGCAACGAUGCAUAGCCGACCUGAGAGGGUGAUCGGCCACACUGGAACUGAGACACGGUCCAGACUCCUACAGGAGGCAGCAGUAGGGAAUCUUCCGCAAUGGGCGAAAGCCUGACGGAGCAACGCCGCGUGAGUGAUGAAGGUCUUCGGAUCGUAAAACUCUGUUAUUAGGGAAGAACAUAUGUGUAAGUAACUGUGCACAUCUUGACGGUACCUAAUCAGAAAGCCACGGCUAACUACGUG
rnacentral:rRNA from 1 species